UACGGAGGGGGCUAGCGUUGUUCGGAAUCAUUGGGCGUAAAGGGCGCGUAGGCGGCCGACCAAGUCGGAUGUGAAAUCCCUCGGCUCAACCGAGGAACUGCACUCGAUACUGGAUGGCUUGAGUUCGGGAGAGGGAUGCGGAAUUCCAGGUGUAGCGGUGAAAUGCGUAGAUAUCUGGAGGAACACCGGUGGCGAAGGCGGCAUCCUGGACCGAUACUGACGCUGAGGAGCGAAAGCCAGGGGAGCAAACGGG
rnacentral:rRNA from 1 species